UUCAAGAAUUUUUUCUCGACAGUAGACUAAAUAUUUGAAAGACCUUUACACUUUUGAAAAUCUAUAAUUUAAUACCAAUUUACUUUAGCUUUUAAAAAAUGAGUGAGAGAUUCUCAUUGUAAGCACAUUGGAAAACCAAUAGCUAUAGGUUUUGUUUUGUUUUGUUUUAACUGUAGUACUUUGUUUCUCAGCACUAUCAUUAUCAUUGUCAGGAAUUGGUUUCAGAAACCUCAAAAAAAGUUCGUGGAAAAGAAAGGAAGAGGAAACUCUUGAAAGAAUUUCACACUGUGAAUCUAAGAGUUCCUUGUAGUCAUCUUCAAGUGAGCUAGUUCUCAAACAUUAUUCUCUGUAGUCUUCAUGAGAACUCAGAUUAAUGGUAUGAGCCUGCUUGGAAUGUGACUUCUAGAUUCUAGCAAAGUAUCAAUCCUGGUCCCGAGACCCACCCGUAAGAAUAAAAUCAAAUCAAAAUUCAUCUAUAUUUUAAGAUCCACCAUGUGCAAGACACAACUUUAGAUGCCAAAAUCAACAAGUAAAUUUAGAUCUGACACUCUUAAUCUUAGAGAAUACCUUUCUGUGCAUUAUUAUUUAUGGAAAUAUAUUAUUUAUGUUAUGCAUAUGAAAAUCUGAACCUGUUAUUAUCUUAAGAUUUUUGAAUGUUUAUAGAAGUUCUUCCAAUGGAAGUAUAAAGCAGAAGGAGGAAAAGAUCAGACCCUUUCCCUGACACAGGAAUGUCAUUUGUUAAAUGGCAAUCCCAUGACAUUUCAAGUAACGUUUUUACAAAUUAUUUUUCCCUUUUCUUAGCAUGAAUUUUCUAAACCUAUCAUAAAAUUUUAAAUAUUCAGUGAUUUAUACACUAAAAAAAUUAUUUUUUUACAGAAGAUGAUUAUUUUAACCCUGAGAACCUAGAUGUGGCCACUCUUUGCUGUCAUCACUGUUAUCAUCGUCGUCAUCAUGAUCUCACACCGACACAUCAGAAUGGCUCCCACAAAGAAGGGUGGCAAGAAGAAGAAGGGUCAUUCUGCCAUCACCGAGGUAGUGACCAGAGAAUACACCAUCCACAUUCACAAGUACAUCUAUGAGUGGGUUUCAAGAAGUGUACCCCUCGGGCACUCAAAGAGAUCCAGAACUUUAUCAUAAAGGAGAUGGGAACUUCAGAUGUACACAUUGACGCCAGGCUCAACAAAGCUGUUUGGGCCAAAGGAAUAAGAAUGUUCCAUACCAUAUAUUCCAUGUGCAGUUGUCCAGAAAACAUAAUGAGGAUGAAGAUUCACCAAACAAGAUCUGUACGUUGGUUACCUAUGUACCUGUCACCACUUUAAAAACUACAGUUCAUGUGGAUGAGAACGAAUCGCUUAUUGUCAAAUAAAGGUAUAAAACUGAAAAAAAAAAAGUCUAUU
rnacentral:lncRNA from 1 species